rnacentral:rRNA from 1 species
UACCCUGGUAGUCCACGCCCUAAACGAUGUCAACUAGCUGUUGGGGCCUUCGGGCCUUGGUAGCGCAGCUAACGCGUGAAGUUGACCGCCUGGGGAGUACGGUCGCAAGAUUAAAACUCAAAGGAAUUGACGGGGACCCGCACAAGCGGUGGAUGAUGUGGAUUAAUUCGAUGCAACGCGAAAAACCUUACCUACCCUUGACAUGUCUGGAAUGCCGAAGAGAUUUGGCAGUGCUCGCAAGAGAACCGGAACACAGGUGCUGCAUGGCUGUCGUCAGCUCGUGUCGUGAGAUGUUGGGUUAAGUCCCGCAACGAGCGCAACCCUUGUCAUUAGUUGCUACGAAAGGGCACUCUAAUGAGACUGCCGGUGACAAACCGGAGGAAGGUGGGGAUGACGUCAAGUCCUCAUGGCCCUUAUGGGUAGGGCUUCACACGUCAUACAAUGGUCGGGACAGAGGGUCGCCAACCCGCGAGGGGGAGCCAAUCCCAGAAACCCGAUCGUAGUCCGGAUCGCAGUCUGCAACUCGACUGCGUGAAGUCGGAAUCGCUAGUAAUCGCGGAUCAGCAUGUCGCGGUGAAUACGUUCCCGGGUCUUGUACACACCGCCCGUCACACCAUGGGAGUGGGUUUUACCAGAAGUAGUUAGCCUAACCGCAAGGAGGGCGAUUACCACGGUAGGAUUCAUGACUGGGGUGAAGUCGUAACAAGGUAACC